UACGUAGGGGGCUAGCGUUGUCCGGAAUCAUUGGGCGUAAAGAGCUCGUAGGCGGUUUGUCGCGUCUGCUGUGAAAACUCGAGGCUCAACCUCGGGCUUGCAGUGGGUACGGGCAGACUAGAGUGCGGUAGGGGGUGACUGGAAUUCCUGGUGUAGCGGUGAAAUGCGCAGAUAUCAGGAGGAACACCGGUGGCGAAGGCGGGUCUCUGGGCAGUAACUGACGCUGGAGGAGCGAAAGCGUGGGGAGCGAACAGG
rnacentral:rRNA from 1 species